AGUCAAAAGAGCCGCACGUUGUAUCGUUUCAAUAAUCUUAAAAUUUUAACUUUUAUUUCUACUACACCGUUUGAAUGCAUCUCACUAUAAAUAACAAAGAUAAGACUCAAAACCAAACGUUAGGCAAAAAAAAGCAUCCGCUGUUUCCAUUCGUUAAACACAAACGGCCAAAAGAAAAUCCCUUCCUUGCCGAUCUGCUUUGUAGUUUGCCCCAUGUUCUGUUUCUUCUCUGCAACAAUGUGCAAACUUGCCCACUUAGAUUUCUGCCCAUAUACGGAGAAAUUAUUGUUCAGAGAACGCGACCGAUUGGAAUUUUUCUGGUAGAAGAGGAAGAAUAAGCGUUAGACUGUUAACGCACCAUGGAUUGAGAGAGGGGUACCACCACAAGCCUCCACUCCACCCACUAUCAGACUACCGGAAUCGCUACUGGGAUACGGAGGUAGAAGAACCAAGCAGAGUUUGUAGGCGCCAAGAGAAAGAAGAAAUAUUUAAGGCCGGCUAUUGUCCGUUCCCUCGCCAUACUUGGGCCACCGGAACCGCAAGCAAGAAAAAACUAUGGACCAUCAACACUCUUAGGCCAUAUAUCUGCCACCUAGAUCGUCGGAACCGGAACUGAAACCGGUGGGUUCGUGCUCUGUCCCUAUCUCCUCUCUGUGGCAUCUGCUGUUUGUGUUUGUGCUCUUCCCCCAUCUCCUCUCUGCAACAUAUACGGAAGCGGCUUAGGACAAGUGUAUGUUAGGCAACAUCAACAAUAACAGCUAUGGCAGCAACUCAACUUCAGCAGCAACAUCACAGAAUGAGACUGAUUUUCAGGAUUUAUGAUGGCUGAACCAAUGCUCAUGAUUGGUGGCAAUAAUGCUCAACUUAAGUUGCUGCAUAACUCAUGUUGGUGCUGCUGCUGGAGGCUUAAGUAGCUGCAUAAUUGCUGGUGGUGUUGUUGCUUAAAGUCAAAUUCUUUUUUUAGACACUAUAUGCUUAAAUAUACUACAUUAUUUAAGUUUGAAUGUAAGCAGUGGAAUUAUGAUAACUAAGUUUAUGUAGGAUGCAAAGUUCAUAACUAAUCAAACUAUUCCAACGUUUACUAGGUAUAAAAGGAAUUGCAUUUUCUUCAAUGAUCAAAAUGAAACUCAUGUUUUCAACUUGCAAGAUAGAAGCUUUGGAGAUUUACAGAAUAUCCAUCCAUCCUGGCUUCUCUCAAAUUUGCUUUAGGCCUAUGUAAGAUAGUACACUUACAUUAACUUUCUUUUUGGGGACCUGAAUUUGAAGCAAAGAAAUAGAUAGAGAAUAUGUAAUGCAACUAUUAGAGAGAAAAGGGUAAGAGAUAUAUUGUUUUCUACUAGAGAUGAUUGCUAGAGAUUAAUAAGUGUUAGAGAUAUUGAAAUUGAAUGUUA